rnacentral:rRNA from 1 species
GACGAACGCUGGCGGCGUGCUUAACACAUGCAAGUCGAGCGGUAAGGCCCUUUCGGGGGUACACGAGCGGCGAACGGGUGAGUAACACGUGGGUGACCUGCCCUUAGCUCUGGGAUAAGCCUGGGAAACUGGGUCUAAUACCGGAUAUGACUCCAUAACGCAUGUUGUGGGGUGGAAAGCCUUGUGCGGCUAGGGGAUGGGCCCGCGGCCUAUCAGCUUGUUGGUGGGGUGACGGCCACCAAGGCGACGACGGGUAGCCGGCCUGAGAGGGCGACCGGCCACACUGGGACUGAGACACGGCCCAGACUCCUACGGGAGGCAGCAGUGGGGAAUCUUGCGCAAUGGGCGAAAGCCUGACGCAGCGACGCCGCGUGGGGAUGAC